rnacentral:rRNA from 1 species
AGCAGCCGCGGUAAUACAGAGGUGUCAAGCGUUGUUCGGAUUCAUUGGGCGUAAAGGGUGCGUAGGUGGCGAGGUAAGUCGGAUGUGAAAUCUCCAAGCUCAACUUGGAAACUGCAUUCGAUACUGCUUUGCUCGAGGACUGUAGAGGGCAUUGGAAUUCACGGUGUAGCAGUGAAAUGCGUAGAUAUCGUGAGGAAGACCAGUGGCGAAGGCGAAUGCCUGGGCAGUUCCUGACACUGAGGCACGAAGGCCAGGGGAGCAAACGGGAUUAGAUACCCCGGUAGUCCUGGCAGUAAACGGUGCACGUUUGGUGUGGGAGGAUUCGACCCCUUCCGUGCCGGAGCAAACGCGUUAAACGUGCCGCCUGGGGAGUACGG